CGAAUAAACACAACAACUCUUCCUGCUUAACCGAAUUUGAGGCUUGGGCUGAGACCUUUAUAACGAAGACAUUUGCACGUUCCUUGCAGAACUGUGAGGAAUAAAGGAGUUCAUGUAUCCCAGCCCAACAAGAGCAUUUCGGCAUGCAAACAAUCUGAAUGCAACAUGGGACAUGAUGGCGGAAGCUGGUGUAGCUGUCUUGGGUCACAAGGCAGUCUUUGGAAUGAGCCCGUGCAUCCCAUGUCUAUCAGAGCAACAAGGCAGAAAGAACCUGGGCCCUGGCACCAUGCUGGGACAUACCACAUGGGCAGUCCCAUCUGUGAGCUUCUACUGGAGAGAGAAAUAAACUUUUAUCUUGUUCCAACCACCAUUUCUCAGGUCGUUAUUUUCUCUUGGCAGAUACCAGUCCUAAUGUGAUAUAAAGGUAUUAGAAAAUUUGUAUUCAAUCGCCCUUCCCUACUAAGUUGGUCGAGUUA